rnacentral:rRNA from 1 species
UACGGGAGGGGCACGCGUCAUUCGGCUUGACUGGGCGUAAAGGGUUCGUAGACUGUAAAAUAAGUUACUUGUUAAACUUUAAAGCUUAACUUUAAAUCAGCUUGUAAUACUGUUUUACUUGAGUUUUAUACAGAAGAGUAGAAUUGUAUACGUAAGGGUAAAAUCUAAAGAUAUAUAAAGGAAUGCCGGUAGCGAAGGCGACUCUUUGGUAAAAACUGACGUUGAGGAACGAAAGUAUGGGGAGCAAACAGG